AUUGAACGCUGGCGGCAUGCCUUACACAUGCAAGUCGAACGGCAGCACGGGAGCAAUCCUGGUGGCGAGUGGCGAACGGGUGAGUAAUAUAUCGGAACGUGCCCAGUCGUGGGGGAUAACGCAGCGAAAGCUGUGCUAAUACCGCAUACGAUCUACGGAUGAAAGCGGGGGAUCGCAAGACCUCGCGCGAUUGGAGCGGCCGAUAUCAGAUUAGCUAGUUGGUGAGGUAAAGGCUCACCAAGGCGACGAUCUGUAGCUGGUCUGAGAGGACGACCAGCCACACUGGAACUGAGACACGGUCCAGACUCCUACGGGAGGCAGCAGUGGGGAAUGUUGGACAAUGGGCGCAAGCCUGAUCCAGCAAUGCCGCGUGCAGGAUGAAGGCCUUCGGGUUGUAAACUGCUUUUGUACGGAACGAAACGGCGAGCUCUAAUACAGUUUGCUAAUGACGGUACCGUAAGAAUAAGCACCGGCUAACUACGUGCCAGCCGCCGCAGUAAGAC
rnacentral:rRNA from 1 species